rnacentral:rRNA from 1 species
AUUGAACGCUGGCGGCAUGCCUUACACAUGCAAGUCGAACGGUAACAGCACUUCGGUGGCUGACGAGUGGCGAACGGGUGAGUAAUACAUCGGAACGUGCCCGAGAGUGGGGGAUAACGCAGCGAAAGCUGUGCUAAUACCGCAUACGAUCUACGGAUGAAAGCAGGGGAUUCGCAAGGACCUUGCGCUCAUGGAGCGGCCGAUGGCAGAUUAGGUAGUUGGUGGGAUAAAAGCUUACCAAGCCGACGAUCUGUAGCUGGUCUGAGAGGACGACCAGCCACACUGGGACUGAGACACGGCCCAGACUCCUACGGGAGGCAGCAGUGGGGAAUUUUGGACAAUGGGCGCAAGCCUGAUCCAGCCAUGCCGCGUGAGUGAAGAAGGCCUCGGUUG